rnacentral:rRNA from 1 species
UGGGGAAUUUUGGACAAUGGGCGAAAGCCUGAUCCAGCAAUGCCGCGUGUGUGAAGAAGGCCUUCGGGUUGUAAAGCACUUUUGUCCGGAAAGAAAUCCUUGGCUCUAAUACAGUCGGGGGAUGACGGUACCGGAAGAAUAAGCACCGGCUAACUACGUGCCAGCAGCCGCGGUAAUACGUAGGGUGCAAGCGUUAAUCGGAAUUACUGGGCGUAAAGCGUGCGCAGGCGGUUUGCUAAGACCGAUGUGAAAUCCCCGGGCUCAACCUGGGAACUGCAUUGGUGACUGGCAGGCUAGAGUAUGGCAGAGGGGGGUAGAAUUCCACGUGUAGCAGUGAAAUGCGUAGAGAUGUGGAGGAAUACCGAUGGCGAAGGCAGCCCCCUGGGCCAAUACUGACGCUCAUGCACGAAAGCGUGGGGAGCAAACAGGAUUAGAUACCCUGGUAGUCCACGCCCUAAACGAUGUCAACUAGUUGUUGGGGACUUCAUUUUCCUUAGUAACGUAGCUAACGCGUGAAGUUGACCGCCUGGGGAGUACGGUCGCAAGAUU